AUUGAACGCUGGCGGCAUGCCUUACACAUGCAAGUCGAACGGUAACAGGUCUUCGGAUGCUGACGAGUGGUGCACGGGUGAGUAAUACAUCGGAACGUGCCCAGACGUGGGGGAUAACGAGGCGAAAGCUUUGCUAAUACCGCAUACGAUCUAAGGAUGAAAGCAGGGGACCGCAAGGCCUUGUGCGUUUGGAGCGGCCGAUGGCAGAUUAGGUAGUUGGUGGGAUAAAAGCUUACCAAGCCGACGAUCUGUAGCUGGUCUGAGAGGACGACCAGCCACACUGGGACUGAGACACGGCCCAGACUCCUACGGGAGGCAGCAGUGGGGAAUUUUGGACAAUGGGCGAAAGCCUGAUCCAGCAAUGCCGCGUGCAGGAUGAAGGCCUUCGGGUUGUAAACUGCUUUUGUACGGAACGAAAAGGCUCUGGCUAAUACCUGGGGCACAUGACGGUACCGUAAGAAUAAGCACCGGCUAACUACGUG
rnacentral:rRNA from 1 species